UUCUGCCUUGCAUCAGAUCCACACUAAAAUUGGAACGACACAGAGAAGAUUAGCAUGGUCCAUGCGCAAGGAUGACACGCAAAUUCGUGAAGCAUUCCAUAUUUAA